rnacentral:rRNA from 1 species
AUUGAACGCUGGCGGCAGGCUUAACACAUGCAAGUCGAGCGGAGAUGAGGUGCUUGCACCUUAUCUUAGCGGCGGACGGGUGAGUAAUGCUUAGGAAUCUGCCUAUUAGUGGGGGACAACAUUCCGAAAGGAAUGCUAAUACCGCAUACGUCCUACGGGAGAAAGCAGGGGAUCUUCGGACCUUGCGCUACUAGAUGAGCCCAAGUCGGAUUAGCUAGUUGGUGGGGUAAAGGCCUACCAAGGCGAAGAUCUGUAGCGGGUCUGAGAGGAUGAUCCGCCACACUGGGACUGAGACACGGCCCAGACUCCUACGGGAGGCAGCAGUGGGGAAUAUUGGACAAUGGGGGGAACCCUGAUCCAGCCAUGCCGCGUGUGUGAAGAAGGCCUUAUGGUUGUAAAGCACUUUAAGCGAGGAGGAGGCUACUGAGACUAAUACUCUUGGAUAGUGGACGUUACUCGCAGAAUAAGCACCGGCUAACUCUGUGCCAGCAGCCGCCGUAACAC